rnacentral:rRNA from 1 species
AGGAUAAACGCUGGCGGCGUGCCUAACACAUGCAAGUCGAACGUCUCUUUCUUCGGGAAGAGGAGUGGCGGACGGGUGAGGAACACGUGGGAACCUGCCCUACAGUGAGGAAUACCGGCGAGAAAUCGCCGACAAGACCGCAUAGCCCUCUCUGGUGAGAGCCAGAGAAGGAAAGCUUCGCAAGAGGCGCUGGAGGAGGGGCCUGCGUCCGAUUAGCUAGUUGGUGGGGUAAGAGCCUACCAAGGCGUCGAUCGGUAGCUGGUCUGAGAGGACGAUCAGCCACACUGGGAUUGAGAACGGCCCAGACUCCUACGGGGGGCAGCAGUGAGGAAUUUUCGGCAAUGGGGGAAACCCUGACCGAGCAACGCCGCGUGCAGGAAGAAGGUUUUCGGAUCGUAAACUGCUUUUCGUCGGGGAAGAGAACGGACGGUACCCGAGGAAUCGAGCCCCGGCUAACUACGCGCCAGCAGCCGC